AGCGCCCCCGAUCCCCCCCUUCCCCCCACCCCUCAGAAGAAUUUUCCCUGCAAAGCAAUGAGGAGUGGGAGCCGACCCAGGAGGAGGAUACGACCGACCAGGCAUGCAGUGACCAGCCGCGGUCGUCAAGGGACCAAACAGAAAAGAGAGAGAAAAAAAAAAAGGCCUAGAAAGGCAAGAAGCCAGCCAGAGGAUCAGUCGGAGGAGGAAGCCUCUGGUGAAGGCACAGGACGGAAGAUUCCGUGUGGACCCAGAUACACCGAGGCGGAAAACUGUGCCCUAGUGGAUGGCGUCGACAGGUCCUACGAUGUUCUGUAUGGACCAAGGGCACAGACCACAGCAGCUAAGACAAAGCGAAACAUCUGGGAUGCCAUCGCGAGACAAGUCACUGCAGUAUCUGGAAACCGCCGGAGCACCAGAAACUGCAUGAAGCGGUACAGUGAUUGCCGUAGACAGACCAAGAAAAAGAUGGGGAUUCAGCGCCGACAUGAGACAGCUACGGGAGGUGGUCUGGCUCUCAAUUUGAAGUGGCUUCCCUGGGAGGAAGAUAUAAAAAUGUGCAUAAACCCUGUCAUGGUCCCAGGAGUUCGUGGAGGUGUGGACUCCAGCCGUCCUGCUGGCUUUCCCGAGGAGGAAGAACCGCCCAGAAGACGGAAGACGGCGAGAGACAAGCAGUCCAAAAGGAGGUGUGAUGGUAAGAAUACAUUCAGAUGAGCUGUACUAAACAUUUUUACAUUUUUAUUUGCUGUGUUUGUUCUUUCCCCCAGAUACGCCUGCCCAGAGGACAUCACCUGCGCGCAGGACAUCGGCAGCGCGCGGACCAUCAUCUGUGCAGCAAGCAUCAGCAGCGUGCAGACCAUCACCUGCGCGCCAGACAUCAUCAGCGCGCAGAAAGUCACCUGCGCGCCAGACAUCGUCAGCGCGCAGACCAUCACCUGCGCGCCAGACAUCAGUGCGCAGAAUGUCAUCUGCGCGCCAGACACCGUCGGCGACCACGCCACCAGCUGGGCGCCAAACUAUAUCUCCUGCGCGCAGGGCAUCACCAGCUCGUGAUCUCUCCAGGAGCUCUGGGACUGUGACACAAGAGCCUCAAGAAGACACUACCCUUGUGGACCCAUCACCUGAACUGUUUGAGUCGACAGGGUUAACGGACGAGACUUUUCUAGGGUUUGAUGACAGCCGUGCAGACGCAUACAGCCAUACCCAAGAAAAGUCUCCAGAAUUGAGGACCAGUGAAGCUCCUGGAGCAGCGGCACCACCGGAUGGAGAAGAGGUGUCACGGACCAGCAGCGGAUUUGCAUCAGCGAUUGGUCCCUACUUCAGGCCGGAUCUCUUACAGGAUGAGUCGGACAACGAGGCGGAAGUGCAGCAGCCCGCUGUUUCUAC